ACGGCCGCGGGUAAUUCGAUUGCUUNCCUUGAUUCACGACGUUGCAGACACUGUUNCUNGUGACNGAGNNNACCAUCACUAAANNAUUCANNNNCGCUCUGUCANUGCUCNCACCAUGAUNGGAAGAGCUCCCAACGNGANGGGAUNCAUNGCNUGAGNAUNCNAUNGCGNCACGAUAANUAUAGUUGUUGGGGUAACGGCCCAACAAGCCUGUAAUCGGUACGGGUUGUGGGAGCAAGAGCCCGGAGAUGGAUUCUGAGACAAGAAUCCAGGCCCUACGGGGCGCAGCAGGAGCGGAAACUUUACAAUGCAGGUAACUGUGAUAAGGGAACCCCGAGUGCCCGUAUGGACGGGCUGUUCAGGUAUGUAAAGAACACCUGGAGAAAGGGCCGGGCAAGACCGGUGCCAGCUGCCGCGGUAAUACCGGCGGCUCGAGUGGUGGCCACUAUUACUGGGCUUAAGGCGUCCGUAGCUGGGUAGUUAAGUCUCUUGGGAAAUCUUCCGGCUCAACCGGAAGGCGUCUAAUGGAUACUGGCUACCUAGGGAUCGGGAGAGGGUGAGAGGUACUCUGGGGGUAGGAGUGAAAUCCUGUAAUCCUUUAGGGGACCACCUGUGGNCAAAGGNUUCUUCACC
rnacentral:rRNA from 1 species